ACUAAAUUUCUCUUUUAUUUGAUAUAAGUAUGCUCACUUCUGCUUUCUUUUGGUUACCAUUUGCGUGGAAUGUCUUUUUCCAUCCUUUCACUUUCCACCUAUUUGUGCCUUUAAAUUUAAAGCAAGUCUCUUGUGGACAGCAUAUUGCUGAGUCUUUAUAAAAUCUGUUCAAUCACUCUAUGCCUUUUGGUUGGGCAGUUUAAUCUAUAAUCAGUUAAAGAGACCAUUAAUAGAUAUGUACUUAUUAUUGCCAUUUUGCUUAUUGUUUUCUGUCUGUUUGGCAGUUGUUUUCUCUUUGAUUCAAUGAUGUUUUGUAAUGAUUUGCUUUGUUUUUUUGUGUGUGUGUAUGUGUGUGUAUAUCAGUGAUAGAGGUUUGGGUACUUAUUUCAAGGCUUGCUUAAAAGAUCUUGUCUAUUUUAAGUUGGUAACAAUUUAACUUUGAUCAUGCACAAUAACUAUACUUUCAAUUCUACACGUUUUGUGUUCUUGUAGUCAGUUUGCUUCUUUUUACAUUGUGUGUCUCUUAAUAAACGUUUAUCUUUUAACUCUUAUGUUAGGGUUAACAGUAAUUUAUAUGCUAAAUGUUGCAUUAUUCUGUAUUUGUCUACAUAUUUAUCUUUGCCAUUGAGAUUUAUACUUUCAUGUGUUUUCUCGUGGCUGCUUAGCAUGUUUUCAUUUCAAAUUGAAGAAACCUCUUCAUCAUUUUUGUAAGUGAGGCUUCGGGGUAACAACCUUUCUCAGUUUUGUUUAUUUGGGAAAGACUUUCUCUCUCCAUUUUUAAGGAUAAUUUUACAGGUAUAGUAUUCUUGAUUGGCAGGGUUUCUUCUUUUCUUUCAGUACUUUGAAUUUAUUAUCUCACUCUUUCCUGGCCUACAGUGUUUCUGCUGAGAAAUCCACUGAUAGUCUUACCCACAUUGCCUUAGAUGUGAUGUCACUUUUCUCUUGCUGUUUUCAAAAUGCGCUUUGUUCUUGACUUCUGACAAUUUGGUCAUAAUGUAUCUCAUUGUAUCCUUCUUCAGACUGACCCUAUUUUAGGCCCUUUGAGUUUCUUUAAUCUAAAUGUUCAUUUCUCUCCCAAGAUUUGGGAAGUUUUUAGCCAUUAAAUCUUUAAGUAAACUUCUUAACCCUUUCUCUUCUCCUUCUGAUACUUUCAUAAUGCAUAUAUUGCUUCACUUGAUUAUGGUCCAUAAAUCCUAUAGGAUGUCUUCAUUCUUUUUUAUUUUUAUUUUUCCUUUUUCUCCCCUGACUGGAUAAUCUCAAAUGACCUAUCUUCAAAUUCACAGAUUCCUCCUUCUGCUUGAUUGAAUCUGUUCUUAAGGCUCUCCAUCAUAUUUUCUAUUUCAUUCAUUGUACUUUUCACCUCCAGAAAUUCCUGGUUUUCUAAUGACUUUUAUCUCUUUGUCGAACUUCUAGUUUUGUUCAUGUGUUGUUUUCCUGAAUAUGUUGAGUUGUCUGACUGUGUUCUCUUACAGCUUACUGAGAUUUUUUUAAACCAAUUAUUUGGAGUUCUUUGCCAGAAAAUUCAAGGCUUUCCAUUUCCCUCGGGUUGGUUACUGGAAAAUCAGUCAUGUUUCAUUGGUUUUAUAUGUUUCUUAUAACCUUGCAUUUGUGUCUACACAUUUAAAGGAGCAGUCACCUCUUCCAGACGUUAUGGGCUGGCUUUGGUGGGGAAAGACCUUCACCUGUGGGCGGGUAUGAGGGCACCAGCUGGGGUGUGACAGUUCUGGCUCCAGGUGGAUACAACUUGGAUUCUGGGCAGUUGAAUUAGCUGGGGUCAGCAUCAGUGAAGAUUGUGGGCGUCAUCAGUCAUAAAAGCUGUGGGUGUCCAUGAUGGUGACAAAAGCUACUGGGGUUCUGAUCACCUCUUUCCCCAUAGAGAGAGGUCACAGCCAAAGAGAUCCCCUUUGUUGCCAAGCUGUGCCAGGGUGGAGGAUGGGCUGAUGCAGAUAAAAUGCUUCCAGCACCUUGGUUUGAGGCUGCUUCAAUGAGUUCCUGCCACUCCUUCAUUGCACUCUGGAGCAUUCCCAGAGCUGUCUGUGUUGGUAAAGUUGUUGUUCAAUUCUUGCUUUCAUCGGGGAGACAAGAGCUGGGAUCUCCUAGUGUAUGAUCUUGUUGAUAUGAGUUGCCUGCUUUUAAUUUUUUAGCUAAUUUUUCUGAUUACAAAGUAUUGAGGUUCUCUGAAGAAUAUUUCAGAUAUUUAGGAAAUUUAAAAAUAAGAUUAAAAUAUUGAUUAAAUUCUGGUUUAAAUCCUUCCAGGCUUUUAUAAUGCAUUUGUAAGUACACCCAUAUCUUUGCAAAGACAGCACUGUAUUUUUCAGAUGAUGGUGCUGAAAAUGCACUUUUGUCUUCAUGUACCACUAUUUCAUGAACAUUUUUUGAGGUCAUUCAUAAUUUGUCUGUAGCUUGACUUGUAAUGGCCGCCUAGUAUUCCAUCAUGACUGACUCCAUUAAACCACUUUCCUGCCAUUGACAUGUCAGCUGUUUCCACACUGUUGUUAAUAUAAAUAAUUCUAAUAAUGAGCAUCCCCUGUAGAUAAACCUUUUCACAUGGCUCAGUGCUUACUUUCUUGGGGUAAGUUUGUAAACGUAAAAUUGUUGGAUUAGAGGCUCUGCAUAAUUCUGAGAUUUCUAGCACAUGUUGCUAGGUUACUAAAGGCUUCCAAUUGAACUGCUACGCUUAAUGUAUGAGAAUCCCUUUCCCUGCAAUAUACAUUCUUUUAAUUUCCUUACAAGUGUCCCGGACCAUUAUGAACAUGAUUUUAAUUUAUCAUUUAAAGUACUCACCUUAGACAUCUGUACCUAAAUUUUUUAUUGUAUGUUGAGUGUAUACUGACCUCCAUAUAAAUAACCCUCUUUUAUUACUGGACAUUUAAACCUAAAAAACGUUAACAACAAAAAAACCCUAAAUAAUUUUAAUCCAGCAUAAGAUGAUGAUGACACUAGACUAUGAGAAUUCAUACAUUCUGUUCAGGAGCUUCCCAAUAUAUCUAGUCUCCUCUGCUGUUCAUCAUAAAGUCCCCAAAUCACUUCCUGAUGCUGCUGUCUCUAUAUUGAUGGAGUCUCUUAAUUUCACUACUGCAGCAACUUGUGAUGACUGUAACACUGAAAAUUCACUCGCCACAUAGUAAGGGCGUCUGAGUGCCCUUGGGAUUGCUUUAAGGAAAAGCUGUCUCUCCCCUCUUGCCCAUUCUAUACCCUUACCUUCCCACUGCUAGGCCUGGCCUAACUUUUCUCCCCGCUAAGUACAGCCAACCUGGCUGACCUUGGUCUUUGCCUACAUUUGUGUGGGCUGGGUUAAGACUGUGGAUGAGCAGUUAUAAUUUGGAGGAUCAGCGAUAAUCUUCCUCUAACUGGCUCCUCUCAUUGGCUUCUUCUUCUCCUCCCAGCACUUUGUGUGGAGUAGCAGAAAGCCAGGCUAGGCUCCUUUAGGAGAGGUAGACAUCAGCUCGUAAGCAGCAUGGAGGAUUCUGUUUGGGAAACAAUCAAGUGCUUUUUUUUUCAACUACAGGAUUUUAAAACCACCACUGAAAACUGGUAGUCCUGCAUUCUUAACCUGCAAAUAUCUCUGUGUACAAGACUGCACUUGUAAGAAACCAGGCCUGCAAGUGCUUGCACCAUAAAAUCAUCCAAAACAUUCACUAAGUUCCUACUUUGUGCAACACCACGAGGGUUAAUAUAUUCCCCAGUCAGUUGUCCCUGCCCUCACCCCAUUCACAAUGUAAAGUGAUAAUUCCAGACCAUGUGCUGUGUUGUCACCUGCCACUGCUUGGAUUCAUGCUCAUAACGUCUCUCCUGCCUCCCCCCACCACAAAGUUAUAUCAUUUGUAUUAAAGAAGUUGCUAAAGGGGAUUCAAAUCAAUUACUCGGGAACUCUGAAGACAAGCAUCUGGAGAAAGUUCCUCUGAGCUGCCCUGUAGCUCCUGCGCUUUUCCUGACCCUGCGUCUUAUCUCAGGGGCCAUUUCCUCCCAGAGUCACCUCUGACGUUUGUCCAGUCAUCCACAGCUAGUGGUUAAUUCUCACCAAGUGCCACCAAGGGAGGGUUGGGAAUUGCAUUAGACAGAGAGACACUACAAAAUAUACAUAAUAACAUAGAAAUGUAACCCACAUGUACAUUACUUACAAUUCAGCAAGCUGUGAGGAUGGCUCCGUCAUAUUUCAAAAAGAGGCAGAAGUAACACAUCUGCAUUUUCUGACCAGUGACUGCCCUCUCUGUCAGGCAGUGAGGCAGAUGGUGUCCUGGAGUGUUUCCAGUCUAAGUUACCAUUGAGGGAGAAGCCCCCAAACAUGUAGCAAGUAAAUCAAAGGCCACUUCUCACAGAUACAUCUCAGGUCAACUUGCUCAGUUUUCUGGGAAAGUGAAAAAGGCAAGAGAUCUAACAGGGAGGCAUCCUCAGGGAGGCUGGGCACGUGUCUGCAUUUGAAGUGCCUUUAUGGAUCUCACUGCCAGGGCAGCAGCUCACUGCCCCAGCCCCACCAUCGGUCAUUUGUGGCUUUCCAUGGACCUCAAGCCUCCUACCUAACCCAUCAGGAAAAUAUUCCCCCAUGAAAACACAUAUCCUCAAUCAUUUUUACCUUCCUCUUGUCCGUUUUGCUCCACUGCCCCUAUUAUGUGGCCCUAGCUAGGACCACAGAGGUCCCUGGGGUGAGGACUUGUCGGCGUGGAGGGACUGGCUGAAACCCAGGCUGCCCUCUCCUAGCAUGAGCCACACUCGCCACCUCCCAUCAGCGUCUCCAAGGCCUCAUGUGCAUGAAGGGGACCUGAGCAGCCUGUUUCCUGAGGGAGGACGCCACCACUCGGAGCCACAUAUCGCUGAGCCUGAAGACAGAGAGCAGUGUGGAAGGGAGCAGAAGGAUUCAGGAAUUCUCUCUGUGAGUGGCAUUUAGAACCUGAGUCACUGCCUCCCAGUAUAUCUAAUUAGCCCGAAAGCACGGGAAAUCUGGGAGGUUAAUUAAAACCAUGUAGUCCUGUCUUCCUUCAUGAAUCCUUCAGAUACAUGAUAAAGUAUCUGAAAAUGGAAUAAAUAAAAUUUCUAAAAUGCCCAUAAUCUCAAUAAUACAUGAAACAAAAAUCCAAUGAGCGCUUUUGUUCCACAUGGUGUGCUAAGCAUUUUACAUGUGUUAUCUCACUAAUUUCUUCCAACUAUCCUAAGAGGUAAACAUGACUUACAGAUUUUUCAUCCUACACAUUGAGGAAAUUGCAGUUAGGAAAAUCAUAAAUCUCCUAAACGGCAGAAGCCAAGAUUCAGACCUUACCUAGUUCUAACGCUGAAGAGACAUUUGUCUAAAGCAACUCGGUUCUUGCCACACAUUCUCCGCUUACUCUGUGGUGUGAGUGACUGUGCACAGCUCCAGAAUCUCCCAGCGGACCCCCAUGGACCAGGCAGGGUUGCUAUGUGGUACACAUGUAUUGUGAGAUCAUCGAUUCCUCUCCUACCCACUCUUUUCAUCUGAACACGCCUUGGGAUUUGCUUUCUUUAGUGGAAGUUUCCGGCUUGGAUGUAACAUCUUUUGUAUUUGGUGCUAAUAAGAAUCUGGACAUGAGGCUGGGACCUGGCCUUACCAAGCCAGGGUUUCUGUAAGGCAGGAUUGAAUGACAUAACGUCUGUUACAUCAUGUUACAAAGACGGAAGCCAUCUCCCCCUCUGAAUAACCAAAAAAGCAUAGCACCCCCAGGAAUUCAAGUUAGUCGCUAACCAGGAAGUGGAUGCACCCUCCGUAUUUCAAGGGACCCUGAAAGUUACCCCGUGGGAUGUGUGCAUGAAGUGUGCAGCCAGCGCCAGCAGACCCCAUCCCAGACAACGAAAACGCUGUGCAGAAGCGGCCCUGCCCCUACCCAUACGGACCACUCAGUCUAGGAGGAAAGAGUUGCUGUUUGCUGUCUUGAAAAAGGAGGAGGAAGAGGAGGAAGAAAGAAAAGGAGGAGGAGGAAAACAAGAUCAAGGAAGGGAGGCAAGGGGGAGGCAGAAAAAGAAAAAGAUUAACUGGCUGGAGAAAACAGUUUUCAUGCCAUGUUUUUUCUUUAAAAAAGGAAACAGCCUCACAGGGCCCCUGCAGCAGCCUCCUGGGAAGGGGCUCUGAGCCCUGCACCCUGCCCUGUGCCCUGAACCCAGCGCUCACAGCUGAUCCCCUUGGUUGGAGCAAGCACACCUCUGCUUGGGCCACUGAGCAAGAGCUGAGUGCCAUGCCAAGACAUGCUCCCUACAGGAGAGGCGGCGGCCAGGAAAACAAUGCCCAGAGGCACACAGCUCACUGUGAAGAAACUUUUUCCUAUACCUAUUACCUCCCAAAUGAAACCUAUUGCUCUGUGAGUUUUAGAGCACUUUGUUUUCCGGUCUGAAUGAAGUUGGGUUGUGUGCACAUGCAUGUGUGUGGGCGUGCAUGUGUGUUGUGUGUGCACGUGUGUUGUGUAUGUGCACAUGCAUGUGUGUGGUGUGCAUGUGUGUGGUGUGCAUGUGUGUGGGCGUGCAUGUGUGAGUUUUAGAGCACUUUGUUUUCCAGUCUGAAUGAAGUUUGGGUUGUGUGCACAUGCAUGUGUGGGGGUGCAUAUGUGUGUGCAUGUAUGCACACAUGCAUGUGUGUGGUCAUGCAUGUGUGUGGGCAUGCACGUGUGUUGUGUGUGUUCAUGCAUGUGUGUGGAUGUGCAUGUGUGUGCAUGUAUGUAUGCAUGCAUGUGUGGGUGUGCAUGUGUGUUGUGUAUGUGUGUGUGCAUAUGUGUGGGUGUGCAUGUAUGUGUAUGUAUGUGCACAUGCAUGUGUGUGGGCGUGGGUGUGCACAUGUGUUGUGUGUGCACAUGCAUGUGUGGGCGUGCAAGUGUGCAUUCCUCUGUGCACACAGGCAUGCAUGAACUCACACAGGCAGUGAGGCCUCCUCUCUGCAUCUCCCAUGUCCUGAGCUCCACCUGGUUUUGCACUUACUUGCAUGUCCUGCUGAGGAAGCCUCUAGUUUAAUGCACACAGUUUUCUACUCACCCUGUGACUAUUCCAGUCGCUUCAUGGAGGGUUAUGGGACAAUGGAGUUCCUGGUAAAGGUGAACCAGACGGGUAGCAGAUGUGCCUCCAGACCUUUGACUACAGCCUCAGGACGCAGGCUGCUCCUGCCCACUGGCUCCUGAAGGCUAAGCUGCAAAAGCCGCCCUGCUCUCAGCUCUGAUAGCAGCAGGCACAGUGGGCAGGCGCAGCCUACCUGCACACAUACGGCUCAUGGGAACAAGUGUCUGCUGUUAGGCUCUCCCUUGCCCUGCGGUUGACACGUGACUAACACAGUGGUGGCCGAAGUGAAUGGGAGCGGAGCGCAGAGCCGGCGAUGUACCUAGGAUGGGCCUGUGUUGGUGCCCAAGAGCACCCCCAGAGUCCAUCUUCAGCGGAGCAUCCAUCCAAGGGAGCUCCCCACUCUCUAGAAGGUGAAUCUGGAAGCACCAGUGGCCCUUCACUGUGCAGUGUGGGCAGCCCAGACCCCCAGCCUCAUGCCCACGGAGACCCAGCACCCCAGACUCCUGCAGUCUUGGGUCCCAGCCCUGUUGAGGCAAAGUCCACAUUCCGCUGGGCCCUGCGGUGCAGCACGGGCACCAGGGAGAAGCUUGGGUCUGGGCAGCCUGGAGGCCAAGCAAGCAUGGCCCUUGGCACAUGGCAAACAUGUCCCACACUGCCAAGGAGAUCUCUUCUUUCACCUGGAGAAAUGAAGUCUAUGGUUUAGUUUAAUAGCGCUAAGUCCCUAAGGAACAACCAUUACCACAAUGGAUGGGAAGGUGUUUCAAUCCAAAUGUUAUGCUAGUACUAUCCGCACCUAAAGAAAUGUUAUUACAUCAAGUGGUCUUUA